rnacentral:tRNA from 2 species
GGCUCAGGUGGUAGAGCGCUACUUUAGGGAAGUAGAGGCCGCAAGUUCAAGUCUUGUC